rnacentral:rRNA from 1 species
AAAAACAUGUCUUUUAGAAAAUAAUUUAAAGUCUAAUCUGCCCACUGAUUAAAAAUUAAAGGGCUGCAGUAUAUUGACUGUACAAAGGUAGCAUAAUCAUUAGUCUUUUAAUUGAAGACUUGUAUGAAAGAUUUGAUGAAAUGUAAACUGUCUCUAAAUUAUUUAUAGAAAUUAAUUUUUUAGUUAAAAAGCUAAAAUUUAUUUAAAAGACGAGAAGACCCUAUAGAGUUUUAUAUAAAAGAUAAUUAAAAUUAAAUAUCUAAUUAUAAAUUAAAAUUAUUUUUUAUAUUUUAUUGGGGUGAUAGAAAAAUUAAAAUAACUUUUUUUAGUAAUAAAACAUAGAUAAGUGAUUAUUUGAUCCAAAUUUGUUGAUUAAAAGAAAAAAUUACCUUAGGGAUAACAGCGUAAUUUUUUUUUUUAGUACAAAUAAAAAAAAAAGGUUGCGACCUCGAUGUUGGAUUAAGAUAAAAAUUAAAUGCAAAAGUUUAAAUUUUUGAUCUGUUCGAUCAUUAAAAUCUUACAUGAUCUGAG